AGGUAAGUAUUUAAAUCAUAAAAUCUAAUUUGCGAUUAGAAAUCAUUGGAAAACCCAAUCUUACCUA